rnacentral:rRNA from 1 species
CUGGCUCAGAUUGAACGCUGGCGGCAGGCUUAACACAUGCAAGUCGAGCGGUAACAGGUCCAGCUUGCUGGAUGCUGACGAGCGGCGGACGGGUGAGUAAUGCAUAGGAAUCUGCCCGGUAGUGGGGGAUAACCUGGGGAAACCCAGGCUAAUACCGCAUACGUCCUACGGGAGAAAGUGGGGGCUUCGUGUUYUUCGGAAUGGGGACCUCGCGCUAUCGGAUGAGCCUAUGUCGGAUUAGCUAGUUGGUGAGGUAACGGCCCACCAAGGCGACGAUCCGUAGCUGGUCUGAGAGGAUGAUCAGCCACAUCGGGACUGAGACACGGCCCGAACUCCUACGGGAGGCAGCAGUGGGGAAUAUUGGACAAUGGGCGCAAGCCUGAUCCAGCCAUGCCGCGUGUGUGAAGAAGGCUUUCGGGUUGUAAAGCACUUUCAGUGGGGAAGAAGGCCUGACGGCCAAUACCCGUCAGGAGCGAC